rnacentral:tRNA from 1 species
UAAAUCUUUAUUUCAGUGUAAGUGAAAAGCUGUAAGUUUUUAAUCUCCCUUAGUACACU